GACGAACGCUGGCGGCGUGCUUAACACAUGCAAGUCGAGCGGUAAGGCCCUUUCGGGGGUACACGAGCGGCGAACGGGUGAGUAACACGUGGGUGACCUGCCCUCAGCUCUGGGAUAAGCCUGGGAAACCGGGUCUAAUACUGGAUAUGACUCCAUGACGCAUGUUGUGGGGUGGAAAGCCUUGUGCGGCUGAGGAUGGGCCCGCGGCCUAUCAGCUUGUUGGUGGGGUGAUGGCCUACCAAGGCGACGACGGGUAGCCGGCCUGAGAGGGCGACCGGCCACACUGGGACUGAGACACGGCCCAGACUCCGUACGGGGGGCAGCAGUGGGGAAUCUUGCGCAAUGGGCGAAAGCCUGACGCAGCGACGCCGCGUGAGGGAUGACGGCCU
rnacentral:rRNA from 1 species